GGACUACUGGGGUAUCUAAUCCUGUUUGCUCCCCACGCUUUCGUGUCUGAGUGUCAGUGCUAGCCCAGGAGCCUGCCUUCGCCAUCGGUGUUCCUCCACAUAUCUACGCAUUUCACUGCUACACGUGGAAUUCCAGCUCCCUCUGCCGCACUCAAGUCCCACAGUCCUGAAGGCAGUUCCCAGGUUAAGCCCGGGGAUUUCACCUCCAGCUUAUGGAGCCACCUGCGCACGCUUUACGCCCAGUAAUUCCGAUUAACGCUCGCACCCUACGUAUUACCGCGGCUGCUGGCAC
rnacentral:rRNA from 1 species